GAUGAACGCUGGCGGCGUGCCUAAUACAUGCAAGUCGAGCGAACAGACGAGGAGCUUGCUCCUUUGACGUUAGCGGCGGACGGGUGAGUAACACGUAGGUAACCUACCUAUAAGACUGGGAUAACUUCGGGAAACCGGAGCUAAUACCGGAUAAUAUUUCGAACCGCAUGGUUCGAUAGUGAAAGAUGGCUUUGCUAUCACUUAUAGAUGGACCUGCGCCGUAAUAGCUAGUUGGUAAGGUAACGGCUUACCAAGGCAACGAUACGUAGCCGACCUGAGAGGGUGAUCGGCCACACUGGAACUGAGACACGGUGCAGACUCCUACGAGAGGCAGCAGUAGGGAAUCUUCCGCAAUGGGCGAAAGCCUGAAGGAGCAACGCAGCGUGAGUGAUGAAGGUCUUCGGAUCGUAAAACUCUGUUAUUAGGGAAGAACAAACGUGUAAGUAACUGUGCACGUCGUGACGGUACCUAAUCAGAAAGCCACGGCUAACUAAGUG
rnacentral:rRNA from 1 species